GACGAACGCUGGCGGCGUGCCUAACACAUGCAAGUCGAACGGAGAUUUCAGCAAUGGAAUCUUAGUGGCGAACGGGUGAGUAACGCGUAGCCAACCUGCCUUUUAGAUGGGGACAACACCGCGAAAGUGGUGCUAAUACCAAAUGUUGCAUUUUGAUCGCAUGAUUGAGAUACUAAAGAUGGCCUCUAUUUAUAAGCUAUCGCUAAAAGAUGGGUCUGCGUCUGAUUAGCUAGUUGGUGAGGUAAUGGCUCACCAAGGCGACGAUCAGUAGCCGGUCUGAGAGGAUGAACGGCCACACUGGGACUGAGACACGGCCCAGACUCCUACGGGAGGUAGCAGUGGGGAAUCUUCCGCAAUGGACGAAAGUCUGACGGAGCAACGCCGCGUGAGUGAAGAAGGUUUUCGGAUCGUAAAACUCUGUUUUCAGGGACGAAUGUGCAGAUUGUGAAUAAUGAUUUGUAAUGACGGUACCUGAGUAGAAAGCCACGGCUAACUACGUGCCAGCCGCCGCGGUAA
rnacentral:rRNA from 1 species